GCCGGCGUGAUGGAAUAGGCAGACGUGCUGGAUUCAAAAUCCAGUGGUGGCAACACCGUAUCGGUUCGACCCCGAUCGCCGGCACCA
rnacentral:tRNA from 1 species